CUCUCUAACCAUGCUGUACCCUACCGUGCUGAGACAAUCUGACUCUAGAACAGUAUUACACUAUUUCUAAAUGAAUGUUCAACAGUGAUUAUUGAUCUAUCUCUCCCUCUCGCUCUCUCUCUCUAUCUGCAAUCCUCACAGUUCACUAUCAGAUGGUAUGUAGACUGGUUGAAGGCAGCUACAGGCCUGUUUGAGGGACAACUGGACAGAACAUAUCAGAAUGCUUGGACCUCAGCUGAGACCCUCCUCUCCUUCCCCAUCCUUCAAGGAAAGCCACUUCUUUACACUUCCUGUUUGACAUGAUGCUCUCAAGGAUACAUUAGGGGAAGUUGCUUUGCUGUUGGCACCAAUCCCAUGAUGCCAGGCUGCCAGAAAACAUCAAUGACUUUAUCCCCCUCAUCCUAAACUUUGCUAACUCUUGUUCAACUGCUCUUUGAUUAAAUUGGUUUAAUUAAAUGUU